UGAACGCUGGCGGCGUGCCUAAUACAUGCAAGUCGAGCGAACGGACGAGAAGCUUGCUUCUCUGAUGUUAGCGGCGGACGGGUGAGUAACACGUGGAUAACCUACCUAUAAGACUGGGAUAACUUCGGGAAACCGGAGCUAAUACCGGAUAAUAUUUUGAACCGCAUGGUUCCAAAGUGAAAGACGGUCUUGCUGUCACUUAUAGAUGGAUCCGCGCUGCAUUAGCUAGUUGGUAAGGUAACGGCUUACCAAGGCAACGAUGCAUAGCCGACCUGAGAGGGUGAUCGGCCACACUGGAACUGAGACACGGUCCAGACUCCUACGGGAGGCAGCAGUAGGGAAUCUUCCGCAAUGGGCGAAAGCCUGACGGAGCAACGCCGCGUGAGUGAUGAAGGUCUUCGGAUCGUAAAACUCUGUUAUUAGGGAAGAACAUAUGUGUAAGUAACUGUGCACAUCUUGACGGUACCUAAUCAGAAAGCCACGGCUAACUACGUG
rnacentral:rRNA from 1 species